rnacentral:rRNA from 1 species
ACCCGCACAAGCGGUGGAUGAUGUGGGUUAAUUCGAUGCAACGCGAAGAACCUUACCAGGUCUUGACAUCCCGAUGCUAUUUCUAGAGAUAGAAAGUUACUUCGGUACAUCGGUGACAGGUGGUGCAUGGUUGUCGUCAGCUCGUGUCGUGAGAUGUUGGGUUAAGUCCCGCAACGAGCGCAACCCCUAUUGUUAGUUGCCAUCAUUCAGUUGGGCACUCUAGCGAGACUGCCGGUAAUAAACCGGAGGAAGGUGGGAUGACGUCAAAUCAUCAUGCCCCUUAUGACCUGGGCUACACACGUGCUACAAUGGUUGGUACAACGAGUUGCGAGUCGGUGACGGCGAGCUAAUCUCUUAAAGCCAAUCUCAGUUCGGAUUGUAGGCUGCAACUCGCCUACAUGAAGUCGGAAUCGCUAGUAAUCGCGGAUCAGCACGCCGCGGUGAAUACGUUCCCGGGCCUU